rnacentral:rRNA from 1 species
AAUAUACUUUCUUUAUUUUAUAUAAAUNAAUUAAUUUUUUAGUUAAAAAGCUAAGAUUUUUUUAUAGGACGAGAAGACCCUAUAGAACUUUAUUUUCUACAUAUAUAUAUUUUAUAGAUUUUUAAAAUAUUAUAUAUUAAUAGUUAAUUUAAUUGGGGUGAUUGAAAAAAUUAUAUAACUUUUUCUAUUUUUAUCAUUUAUUUAUGAUGUUUUU